rnacentral:lncRNA from 1 species
GUUCUGUGUGGCCAGGCAUUGUUCUAAGCGCUUUAUAUCCUGCCCUCAAAUUCUUGCAACAUUCCUAAGAAGCAGGCACUAGCCUCACUAUUUUACAGAGGAGAAACUAAGGCUUGAAGUUAGAUACCUUGCCUGCACUUACAGCUAUUAAAUGGCGAAAUAGAAUUUGAAACCAGGUCAUCUGCAUCAGAAUCCAUGCACUUAAUCACAAGGCUACUACUACAUCUCCAGCUAUAUUUCAUCUCAGUUCGUUUUCACAAUAGCAUUUCCUUUUUCACAUGAUAAAACAGAGGAGAGGCUCAGAGUGUUAAAAGUCAAUGGCCCAAGUCAUAGAGCUAUUAAAGGAGUGGAAUAGGCCGGAGCGAUAGUGGGGAGGGCCGGCGGGAGGCUGAAGGCGGUAGUCUAUUGUACAAUGCUGCCAUCUAGUGGUAAAAUCUGAAACCUUCCUUAUACGUACCCCGCCCAUUUCUAAAAAUGAUUUACAGUUGCUUGAAGUUUCAGAAGAUGGAAACCCUGUCAAAUCCUCAAAGUAUUAAAAUAAAAGUGAAAGGAAAACAACCAUAUCAUAAUGGAGGAAUAGCUGAGGCAAUAGUUUUUAACUGAGAACCUACUUGGCUCUGAGUUUCCUGGCAGCCAAGGCUAAGAAGGAAAUGUGUGUUCCAUUGCUUAUUGCACAAUAAAAAGUCGAUUAAUCCAUCACAAGACCAGCCUUGGACUUCAUUUUUAAUUCAACAACAAUGGCACUAAAGAUGUUGUAGGUGCCCUCCUGUGGACAUUCAUUUACCUGGAAAAGCCAACCAAGGGUCCCGAUGGAACAAGUAUGCUUGUUUAUAUAGGGGCCCUGGCUCAGCCUUUCCCCAAGCAGUCAUUCCUGGGAUGAGAAUGACCCAUGAAGGCUUUCAGCAAAUGCUAUCCACUAGGUCUUUCGGGCCCAGGCACCACCCACAUUUGUGGUAGUUUUGGUUCAGUUAUGUUUCGAAGGCAGCGCUGAGGGCCUGGCCCCUUGGUUUGGACUUUGGGUGGUGGCAGUGACAGUGCUCUGUUGUUCCAUGAGCUCCAGAGAUGUACUCUAGACCUGCGCUGUCCAAUAAGGCAGUCACAGGUUACAUGUGGCUCCUGAGCACUUAAAUUGCAGCUGGUCUGAACUGAGAUGCCCUGAAGUGGGUGUCUCUUUUGAAAAGGAUUCUUUGGUCUCCAGGUAUACAGUGCUCCUUCCAUCACUGGGGUCCAGGUCUGGGCCCCAGCAUUUGGACUUCACUCACCAAGGCCAGCUCUGAUUUGCUGAUGUAUCAGUUAUAGUUUUCAGAAGCCAAUUUGCAAAUUUCCUUUCAGAUCUUAAAAAGCAAUCACAUCAAAUGACUGUCAACAUAUCCCAGUGCGCCAUGCUCCAUGAAAUGACUAAAUAAAGCAAAAUUCCUUUAUGGAUUCCUUGGAGUAUAACUGAUCACAAGUUUGAGAAUCUUGGGCUAAAUCCAAAAGAUGGCAUCAAGCUCCCAGGCAGCUGGCCAAAAUGUGAAGGCAAUCUGCCUGGAUGAACUUCUUCAAAAUUUCCAGUUUACUCUUAGCACAUCUAAGGUCACUGUAUGAGUCCGUUUUCAUGCUGCUGAUAAAGAGAUACCUGAGACUGGGCAAUUUACAAAAGAAAGAGAUUUAAUGGAUUUACAGUUCCACAUGGCUGGGGAGGCCUCACAAUCAUGGCAGGAGGUGAAAGGCAGGUCUCACAUGGUGGCAGACAAGAGAAGAGAGCUUGUGCAGGGAGACUCUGUUUUUCAAACCAUCAGAUCUCACGAGACUUAUUCACUAUCACAAGAACAGCACGGGAAAGACCUGCCCCCAUGAUUCAGUUACCUCCCACCAGGUCUCUCCCACAAUAACUGAGAAUUCAGGAUGAAAUUUGGGUGGUGACAUGGCCAAACCACAUCAGUCACACUCCAAUUCUUGAAUGAAACUGGGUAGGACCAGUGCCCACCCAAAUGAUCAGAAGGGAGUGUGUGCCUCCCACACAGUAACUCCCCAUUAAAUGUGAGUUCUCACGUCAGAGGUGCAUAGGGCUGGGGAGCCAGAAGUAUGUGAGGUCUCUUUCUGGGCUUAAAGCAGGGAAGGAACCCAGAAGCCCCCUGCUGAGCAGAGGACUCACUGUGGGGUUUGCCCUUUGGUAAGUCUGAAUUUUGGUGGUCGAAUUCAAAAGCCUCCUGUAGCGUGCAAAGGACACAGCUUCAGAGCCUUCCAGGGUGGCUAGCUCAUGGUGGUCACGCCCCACCUCCUGUGGAAUGAAUGGAUUCCACAGGGCUUAGUUGUCUGUUACUGUCUUGUUUCCUGUUACCCUGGGCUAUGUCUCUUAGGCUGCCUCCAAAUCUUCAGGGCAGCCUUGGAGGAGCCUCACACCGGACUCAGGCUAGAGCUCCCAAGGGAGAGCAAAGCCGUGGGGUGACUAGGUGCUCAGUGAGUCCC